GGGUCAGUAGGUUGGUCGUGCCACCGGUACGUACCGGUCUCACUGAUUCCGCCUUCCUGAAGAACCGUAAUGCCAUUAAUUUGGUGUUGCGGGGAAACAGGACUGUUACUUUGAAAAAAUUAGAGUGUUUAAAGCAAGCUAACGCUUGAAUACAUUAGCAUGGAAUAAUGAAAUAGGACGAUCGAUCCUAUUUUGUUGGUUUCUAGGAUUGACGUA
rnacentral:rRNA from 1 species